GCAUCACAUAAACUGAAAUCUCAGCAAAAUUUGAAAACAAUCAUUAUUGAUUUUAAUGUCGUUUUUCUUUAUUUGCACCGCCUGCACCGUUUUCCCACCGGUGUAGCAAAAGUUGCACCCAAACCGUUCUUUUAUUCCGCAGGUAGCACACCGUUUUUACACUCGAUUGCCACCGGUGCAGAAAAUCCUACACCCUGAUCGAGCUGGGUGUAGCAGCAAAUCAUGAAUAACAGAAACAGCUGUUCUAUCUGUUUGCAGAAUGACAUUUUGUUUUGAUUGGCGCCUUCACUAAUACUAUCAUACGCUGUCAAAAUAUUGCACCGAAACCGUUCUAUUUUCCGGUGUCAAUUGUAACACUCGCACGGUGCACCGUCGGGAAUAAUCGAAAACGACAUAAGAUUAUUUAAUUUUUUUUUUUCAUUAGUAGUGGUAUCUAUGGAGCUACUCAUAAAUCUUAUACGGAUAUAUUUAUAAUCGUCUCUUUGGGAUUUUCCUAAGUAUCCUAUGUUUGCUUAUCGACAGAAAAUGUACCUAUCGGGUAUAGACAUUGAGCCCUAAAAAUAACACAAAAAAUCAUGGAGCGUACCGUACGUACUUACUGAAGAAUUUGCUUUGUACAAUCUCACUUCCUUACCAGCGUUUGAUUCAUUUUACAAAACUUAUACGCAAUAUUUUUACUACUUUUU
rnacentral:lncRNA from 1 species